rnacentral:rRNA from 1 species
GACGAACGCUGGCGGCGUGCUUAACACAUGCAAGUCGAACGAUGAAGCUGGAGCUUGCUCCGGUGGAUUAGUGGCGAACGGGUGAGUAACACGUGAGCAAUCUGCCCUUGACUCUGGGAUAACUGCGGGAAACUGUAGCUAAUACCGGAUAUGAGGCUUGGAGGCAUCUCCAGGUCUGGAAAGAAUUUCGGUCAAGGAUGAGCUCGCGGCCUAUCAGCUAGUUGGUGAGGUAAUGGCUCACCAAGGCGACGACGGGUAGCCGGCCUGAGAGGGUGACCGGCCACACUGGGACUGAGACACGGCCCAGACUCCUACGGGAGGCAGCAGUGGGGAAUAUUGCACAAUGGGCGAAAGCCUGAUGCAGCAACGCCGCGUGAGGGAUGAAGGCCUUCGGGUUGUAAACCUCUUUUAGCAGGGAAGAAGCGAAAGUGACGGUACCUGCAGAAAAAGCACCGGCUAACUACGUGCCAGCCGCCGCCGUAA